UCGGAUCUUUAACAACAUGAAAGCGAUCAGAAGAUGUAGACCCUUCAUAGGACACACAACAGUUCGUAUCAAUAUUAAGGGAUGUGUUUGAGCAGAAGCAGAUCUCUGGGACGUGUGGACAGACUUUCACUGUAAUGAUGGACAUCCACUCGUGGACAGAAGUAUAACCCCUGCUGGACAUGGUGCCGGGGCUCGGGGGGGACCCGAAUCGUCCCCAUCCCUUCAUUCACACAACACUCACUCAUAUCGCGGAGAUCUGGCUGGGAUUGAACCAGCAACCUCUGAACCAUGAGGCAGUGCUCUUACCUGUGAGCCACAGAUCUCUUGUCUGAAUGUGUGAAGGAACUUAUAUUUCACUAUUUACCUGCAUGUGCUUUUAUAAUAAACUAGUCAAAGCUAUCAGCUGUCUGAACACACCGAGGUGGGAUUUGAACCCAAGCCUCAAUCACAGCUAGAAACAUGUACUUAACCACUAACCCACAGUGGUUUUCACGUGUUGUGUUUGGCUUUUGUGGCACUUUGUUGAAUGUAACGACAACCAUUUAAAGUAAGCAAUAGUGAGAUUUGAAUUCAGGUCUCCUUGAUGAAAGUCCAGCGCUUUAUCUGCUAAGACACUGGAUCUUUGGAGUCACUUGAUGUUCUGGAUGAGGUUUUAUUAAGAACUUUGUUUAAACUAAUGAAGAACAAUAGUAUUUGUGGGAUUUGAACCCAGACGUAGGUGAAUGAAAGGCCAACGCU